AGAACGAACGCUGGCGGCAUGCCUAACACAUGCAAGUCGAACGAGACCUUCGGGUCUAGUGGCGCACGGGUGCGUAACGCGUGGGAAUCUGCCCUUGGGUUCGGAAUAACAGCGAGAAAUUGCUGCUAAUACCGGAUGAUGACGUAAGUCCAAAGAUUUAUCGCCCAAGGAUGAGCCCGCGUAGGAUUAGCUUGUUGGUGAGGUAAGAGCUCACCAAGGCGACGAUCCUUAGCUGGUCUGAGAGGAUGAUCAGCCACACUGGGACUGAGACACGGCCCAGACCCCUACGGGAGGCAGCAGGUGGGGAAUAGUUAGGACAAGUGGGGACGAAAAGCCCUAGAACCCGAGCAAUGCCGCGUGAGUGAUGAAGCCGUUAGGGUGUAAAGUCUUCUUUACCCGGGAUGAUAAUGACGAGUACGGAGAAUAACGCUCCGGACUAAACUCCGUCGACC
rnacentral:rRNA from 1 species